rnacentral:rRNA from 1 species
CGGGUGAGUAACACGUGGAUAACCUACCUAUAAGACUGGGAUAACUUCGGGAAACCGGAGCUAAUACCGGAUAAUAUAUUGAACCGCAUGGUUCAAUAGUGAAAGACGGUUUUGCUGUCACCUAUAGAUGGAUCCGCGCCGCAUUAGCUAGUUGGUAAGGUAACGGCCUACCAAGGCAACGAUGCGUAGCCGACCUGAGAGGGUGAUCGGCCACACUGGAACUGAGACACGGUCCAG